ACGUUCGGUGGAGGAACCAGACUGGAAGUUAACUUGGGUCGAGUCGCCCCCACCCUGACGGUGCUGCCCCCCUCCAGCCAGGAGCUGCAGCAGGGGAAGGCCACGCUCACGUGUCUGGCCAACAAGGGCUUCCCCUCAGACUGGAGUCUGGCCUGGAAGGUGGACGGCAGCAGCAGCAGCAGCUGGGAGCAGAGCAGGAGCCCCGGGGUGCUGCAGCAGGACGGCCACUACAGCUGGAGCAGCACCCUGAGGCUCCCUGCAGACCAGUGGAGGAAGGUGGGCUCUGUGACCUGUGAGGCCACCCAGGGCUCCCAGUCUCCACUCUCAGAGACACUGAGGAGAGACCAGUGUUCCCAGUCCUGACCUGACUCACUGGG